AUGUUUUCCAUCGUCUUUGCUCCUGGCAUAUCGAGAAAAAUAUGCAAAGGCACCUGCAUUACAAGUCACUGGUUGAGUUCAGAUCGCUCCUAUACUAUGCCACCUCUCAAGCGAACUUUGAGCAGAGAUGGACCGCUUUCUAUAAUAAGUGGAAGAUGGAUAGAACUCAAGAGUGGCUUGACAGGAUGUACAGGAAGAAGAGACUUUGGGCAGCUUCAUAUCUUCCCAAUGGUUUUUUUCUUGGUAUGCGAAGUAACCAGAGAAGCGAAAAGCCUCAACUCCUGCCUUCACCUUCACCUGGACUACGAUAUGACAAUAGUUGAUUUGGUUGUGCAUUAUGAUAACUAUAUAGUUCGUCUGCGUGAGAAUGAGGCGUACGAUGACUGCGAGACACACCAGAAAGAACCACCGUCGGUUACUGAAUAUAAGGCACUUGAGGAGCAUGCCGCCAAAGUAUUCACACCUGCUAAUUUUUACAUCCUGCAAGAUGAUUUGCACAAGAUGGGUCAGCUGGAGAUAUUUGAGACGCUCGUGGGAAUUGAGCGUCAGACUUAUAUGGUGACAUGGAAGGAUAACCACAAGUUCAUGUACAAUGUUGUUUAUGUACCAGGUAACUCAGAAGAAACUAUAACAUGCAGUUGUCUUAAGAUGGUUCGGAAAGGCCUGCCAUGCAAACACAUUCUUUUUGUUCUCCAUCAUCUGAGCAUAACUGAAAUACCAAAGUGUUGUGUCCUUCAUCGGUUGUCAAAAAAUGCGAGAGAUGGAUUACAUGUGCAGCGGAAGAGUGAUAUGUUUGGAUGGGGUUGGUCAGGGCCAUUAGAAAGAGACCGGUAUAGUCAAAUAAGCAUAAAAACCGCAGAGGCAGCUCAUGUUGCAGCAAAUGAUCCCUUCUUGUUUGACGAGUUGAUGAAGUGUCUGGAAAACAUAAUAGCACAGAAAAAGAUACCCGAGGAGGAACUUAUAGGAAGUAGAAGGUAUGCUAAGCUUAUGAAGGAGGCAAGUCAAGCGCAACAAGUUGAACCUGGUAUUAGUGAUCCUCAGAAAGUUUUGACGAAGGAUGCACCUAAGAAGGGGCGGUCAAAGGGGGGCCCGAUGUUACAAAGAAUGGUAGGCCAAAAGAUUUUAUAG
rnacentral:rRNA from 1 species